rnacentral:tRNA from 1 species
CGGGGCGUGGCGCAGCCUGGCUAGCGCACUUGCUUUGGGAGCAAGGGGUCGUGGGUUCGAAUCCCGCCGCCCCGACCA